AGAUUGAAAGAUGAUUGGAGUUUUCACAUAUUACAUGGCCUUCAAAAAGGAACUCUCAGCAAAUAUGAUUUGUUUUUCAGGGUUUAGCAAGUCUCAUUUGCAUGUCUGGUUACUCUAAAAAUUGGUUCACCUCUCCAACAAUGUUAUUAGGUAUUUUAACCAUUGAUUUUCAUAGUAGCAUGUUUACUCUGAGGUAAUUUUUUUGAGAGAUUUUCUUCAAAGUUCAACUUUUGUGUCCUUCAUUUAUAGGGUGAUCUUCUUAUACAAGAUGAAUCUAACUUUUGGUGUCUUAUUACUUCUAUGCUUUUUUUCAAGGUUAAAGUAUUCCUACAACUCAUU